AACCUAGCACACCUGCGGUGUGUACCUGCGGAGGGAUCAUUAUAGGAAAACCGUGAUUUCUACAAGUUGCGGGGGGUUGGGUUGGUGGGGGGUGCCGUACUCUGCACUUUUCCCUGUCUGGCUCCCUGCUUCUUCAAACAAAUUAUCGCAACUAGAGCAAUUGUUUUGGGUUGGGGGGGAUAUCACACACAGGAAAAGUGUUUGCCUGAUAUCUGAGCUUCUUAUGAGGGGAUAGAAAAA
rnacentral:misc_RNA from 1 species